GGGAUUGAGUUCGGUUGGGCUGUGACACCUGUCACCCCACUGAUUGCCAGUGUUGAUUUAGCUGAUCUGGCUGGCUGGGCGGGUGUCCCCUUACUCCCUCACCGCCCCAUUUGCGCUCAGAUGAUGAGGUCGGCCUUCCCGGAAUAGAGAAGGAUUGGUUUUCGGUCGAGGGUGUGAGUAGUUGUGCUCCCCUGCUAGAAUCUCCAGACAAGCUCUCAAGGUCCUAAGUGGGACUGAUACCUUGUUUCACGUGAACAGCUCUCACUGACCAAGGGCCUUGCGACAGAACCUGAUUAAAU
ensembl:misc_RNA 7SK 7SK RNA